GAUGAACGCUAGCUACAGGCUUAACACAUGCAAGUCGAGGGGUAGCAUGUUGGUUGCUUGCAACCGAUGAUGACGACCGGCGCACGGGUGAGUAACGCGUACCCAACUUGGCUUAUACUUAGGGAUAACCCGUUGAAAGACGGCCUAAUACCUAAUGGUUUAUAAUAGUUGCAUGACUUUUAUAAUAAAGAUUUAUCGGUAUAAGAUAGGGAUGCGUCUGAUUAGUUAGUUGGUGAGGUAACGGCUCACCAAGGCAUCGAUCAGUAGGGGUUCUGAGAGGAAGGUCCCCCACAUUGGAACUGACACACGGUCCAAACUCCUACAGGAGGCAGCAGUGAGGAAUAUUGGUCAAUGGACGUAAGUCUGAACCAUCCCAGUAGCGUGCAGGAUGACGGCCCUAUGGGUUGUAAACUGCUUUUAUGUGAGAAUAAAGUUAACUACGUGUAGUUAUUUGCAUGUAUCACAUGAAUAAGGACCGGCUAAUUCCGUGCCAGCAGCCGCGGUAAUACAGAAGGUCCAGGCGUUAUCCGGAUUUAUUGGGUUUAAAGGGAGCGUAGUCCGUUUGUAAGCGUGCUGUGAAAUUUAGAGGCUCAACCUCUACCGUGCAGCGCGAACUGUCAGACUUGAGUGCGUAGUAGGUAGGCGGAAUUCGUGGUGUAGCGGUGAAAUGCUUAGAUAUCACGAAGAACUCCGAUUGCGAAGGCAGCUUACCGUAUCGCAACUGACGCUGAUGCUCGAAGGUGCGGGUAUCGAACAGGAUUAGAUACCCUGGUAGUCCGCACAGUAAACGAUGGAUGCUCGCUGUUGGCUUUUAUAGUCGGUGGCUUAGCGAAAGCGUUAAGCAUCCCACCUGGGGAGUACGCCGGCAACGGUGAAACUCAAAGGAAUUGACGGGGGCCCGCACAAGCGGAGGAACAUGUGGUUUAACUCGAUGAUACGCGAGGAACCUUACCCGGGCUUGAACUGCAGGAGAACGAUUCAGAGAUGAUGAGGUCCUUCGGGACUCCUGUGGAGGUGCUGCAUGGUUGUCGUCAGCUCGUGCCGUGAGGUGUCGGCUUAAGUGCCAUAACGAGCGCAACCCCUUUUCUUAGUUGCCAUCGGGUGAUGCCGGGCACUCUGAGGAUACUGCCACCGUAAGGUGUGAGGAAGGUGGGGAUGACGUCAAAUCAGCACGGCCCUUACGUCCGGGGCUACACACGUGUUACAAUGGGGCAUACAGAGUGUUGGUUGCAUGUAAAUGUAAUCUAAUCUUUAAAGUGCUUCUCAGUUCGGACUGGGGUCUGCGACCCGACCCCACGAAGCUGGAUUCGCUAGUAAUCGCGCAUCAGCCAUGGCGCGGUGAAUACGUUCCCGGGCCU
rnacentral:rRNA from 1 species